rnacentral:rRNA from 1 species
GGUUGCGAUCAUACCAGCACUAAUGCACCGGAUCCCAUCAGAACUCCGCAGUUAAGCGUGCUUGAGCGAGAGUAGUACUAGGAUGGGUGACCCCAUGGGAAGUCCUCGUGUUGCAACCC